CCCCAUGGGGAAGGAUGAGAAGCUUCGACUAAGGUUCGACUCGAGCGAAGCGAGAGAACGUUGCCGCAGGCAACGGCCCGAAGGGCGAGGCGCUUUAGCGCCGAGUAAUCCUUCCCCCACCACCA
rnacentral:sRNA from 1 species